UACGUAGGAGGCGAGCGUUGUCCGGAAUUACUGGGUGUAAAGCGCGUGUAGGCUGGCCUGCCAAGUCUGCUGUGAAAGCGCCUGGCUUAACCGGGCGAGGUCGGUGGAAACUGGCGGGCUGGAGGCCGGUAGAGGGGGGUGGAAUUCCCGGUGUAGUGGUGGAAAUGCGUAGAGAUCGGGAGGAACACCAGUGGCGAAGGCGGCCCCUGGGCCGGGCCUGACGCUGAGACGCGAAGCGUGGGGAGCGAACAGG
rnacentral:rRNA from 1 species